CCAUCACCUCCACCAAAACCAGUCAACCAGUCAAACUCCACUCAGUCUCCACACCACCACCAAAACCAGUCAACCAGUCCACCUACCACCACCACCACCACCACCAGUCAGUCAGUCAGUCCUAAGCUCCAAUCGCGGCCCGGCCAAUCAUAUUCCUCCUCCCCUCUGACGUCAUAAGCCUCGGCCAAUCACGUUCCUCCUCUCCCAUGACGUCACUAGACUGUGGUGAAGCUCUGGCCCCCCACCACCACCCCCGGGACACCCCCCCCCCGCCCACCACCACCACCAGGGGCUGCGAAAACGGCUCCUCUGAACUCCCCGAAAAAGCACAAGCUGGGUGUCCGUUGUGUCCGUGGUCCGUGGAUCGUGUCGGCUUGUCCGUGUCCGUGGGAGAGAUUUUGUUUGUUUGUUUAUUUGAGUUUCCUGAAAAAGCCUAACUGUGGGAUGUUUUUUUUCUUUUUUUUUUUUCUUUGCGGUGAUGUUAAGUAAAAAAAAGAAAAUACGUGUUAUAAAUUCUACGGUCUUUUCUCGCACUUUUUUUAUUAGUUUUGUUACGGUGAAAUACCUCCAAGUUGAUUUUUUUAUGCAAACUCGAAUGAUAUGAUUUUUUUUAUCUAUGAAAGUUAAGUAAUGAGAAGGAAAGGAAAGGGUUAUAGGAUACGUUCUUCUAACCCUUUUCUCUCUUAUAUUCAAUAGUUACAAUAUUUAUUUUUCUCUAUCAUUCGUAGAACCGCAAAUGGCUAUUAUUUUUAAGGAGAAGAGUCAUAUCUAUACAUCUUCAAGCCCUUUUAACUCUUAUAUUCAAUAGUUUCAAUGUUUUCUUUUUAUUUAGAAGCUCAAAUGACAUCUUUUAAUCCUUUUUACUCUUAUGUUCAAUAGUUACUUUGUCUAGUUUUGUUUCUGAAGCUUAAUUAACCGAUUUUCUGGGAGCGAUGUUCCUUAUAGCGAGCAGAAGACAGUGUUACCAAUAUUUAGAAGCUUAAUUGCCUGUUUUUUUGAGAGCGAUGUUCCUUAUAGCGAGCAGAAGACAGUGUUGCCAAUAUUUAGAAGCUCAAUUGGCUGAUUUUCUGAGAGCGAUGUUCAUUAUAGCGAGCAGAAGACAGUGUUACCAAUAUUUAGAAGCACAAUUGGCUGAUUUUCUGAGAGCGAUGUUCAUUGUAGCAAGCAGAAGACAGUGCUGCCAAUAUUUAGAAGCUCAAUUGCCUGUUUUUUUUAGAGCGAUGUUCAUUAUAGCGAGCAGAAGACAGUGUUACCAAUAUUUAGAAGCUCAAUUGCCUGUUUUUUUGAGAGCGAUGUUCAUUAUAGCGAGCAGAAGACAGUGUUACCAAUAUUUAGAAGCUCAAUUGGCUGAUUUUCUGAGAGCGAUGUUCUUUAUAACGAAUAGAAGACAGUGUUACCAAUAUUUAGAAGCUCAACUGACUGGUUUUCUGAGAGCGAUGUUCAUUAUAGCGAGCAGGACAGCGUUACCAAUAUUUAGAAGCUCAGUUGACUGAUUUUCUGAGAGCGAUGUUCAUUAUAGCGAGCAGAAGACAGUGUUACCAAUAUUUAGAAGUUCAAUUGACUGGUUUUCUGAGAGGGACGUUCCUUAUAGCGAGUAAAAGACAGUGUUACCAAUAUUUAGAAGCUCAAUUGGCUGAUUUUCUGAGAGCGAUGUUCAUUAUAGCGAGCAGAAGACAGUGUUACCAAUAUUUAGAAGCUCAAUGACUGGUUUUCUGAGAGGGACGUUCCUUAUAGCGAGUAAAAGACAGCGUUACCAAUAUUUAGAAGCUCAAUUGGCUGGUUUUCUGAGAGGGACGUUCCUUAUAGUGAGUAAAAGACAGUGUUACCAAUAUUUAGAAGCUCAAUGACUGGUUUUCUGAGAGGGACGUUCCUUAUAGCGAGUAAAAGACAGUGUUACCAAUAUCACCACAACAGUCAUUCUCACAACCGCGGUAGAAUCAAUGGAUGCUGACUCUCUCACUCCCUCAUUCACACGCCGGAUCCUUGCCCUUUAUCUGAUCUUUCACGGACACGGACGGAUAUAGCCAGACCCAGACCUUGCCCACGGACACACGAACUCCCGCCCGUAGCCCUUCGCCCAUCACUCAGCGCCUUAGAUUAACCAUGAGUGACGGGCGGAGGGGUACACGUGUGGCUGUUGGCUAUCACCUUUCACUGUUCACGAGUCGUCCACUCACAAGAGGGGAUAUGCCUCGGCUUCGGCACUGUGCUGCGGGAUGCUGGGGCCCGCUGAGUGCUUAAGGAAACCCCAAUAUAAGAUGUCCUAAGCCCCCAGCGGUGUACCAUACGUGUUGAAACUGUCCACAAGUACCCAGUCAAGUAUAGAAUCUCCACUGGGCAUGACUGGAUGUGACUUUGACGUAGAGAAGAGAUGAGAUGAGACGCCAUGUUCCCAGCUUCCAGACCAGACCAGCAGCGUCACACCUAACACCAGGGUUACACCACGGUCACACCAUAGCCACAUCACCUCCGCUGCCUCCAUCACUGCCAUGAGAGGUCUGAUGGUCGCCUACUGCCCCCUGCCCCCUGCCCCGUGCCCCGCCCUGAGCCCCAUCUUACCCCGUUUGAAAGUGUUGAGGCGAAGGGUGGGUCACCAUCUCAGACCUCUUGGCCAGUCUUCUUAGGGUCUGUCUCCCGCCAAAAAGCUAAGCCACUCUGCCCAUCCAUACAGUGCAGGCUGACUGGAGGAGGCACUGGACGAGAGGAAGCUGAGAGAGGCUGUGGACAUCUGUUUCUCCACAUGGCAAACCUCAGCAUCCACCACAGCAGUCAGGGGCGAGAGGGAGUGGAUGAAGGCUUGUCUUUGAGGACCAGGAGGAGGCGCUGAAGAAGAGGAAGAUCAGAUCGGUUUCUCCAUGUGGCAAAUCUUCCCAGCAUCCAGAAAAGCAGUCAGGGGCAAGAGGCAGUAGAUGGAAGCUUGUCUAUAGGGACCUGGAGGAGGCGCUGAAGGAGAGGAAGUUAGAGAAUGAUCUGAGCUGUGAACAUCGGUUUCCCCAAGAGUCGAACCUUCACAGCAUCCAACACAGCGGUCAGAUAAAGGUGGAGGAGGAUAAAAGGAGGUGAAGGAUAGCUGGAAGAAGAGGUGGAAUGGUGGAUGAAGAUAUGGAUAAAUAAAAGAAUGAAGAGAGAAAAGGAAAAAGAGGAAAAUGGAAUAUAUGAAAAGCAAGAUACAAGAAGGAUAAAAGUGGAAUAAGGAAGUGGUAGAAAGAUGGAUGAAGAAAACGUGGAUAAGUGGAUGAAGAGAGAAGAGGAGGAGGAGGAAGAAUAGAGUAUAUGAAAAGCAGGAUAAAGGAAGGUGGAUGAAGAUAUGGAUAACAGAAUGAAGAAGAGAAGAGAAGAGAAUGGAGGAUGAAAAGCAAAAUAAAAGAAUAGAAUAAGAAGUGGAAGAAGGUGGAAUAAAGUGGAAUAAGGAGAAAAGAACGAAAAUAAGGAGAAAUAUAAAUGAGAGAAACGGUGGAGAUAGGAUAGGCAACCACCACCACUACCACCACCACCACUACUACUACUACUACUACUACUACUACUACUUCUACUGUAUCGACAACCACAAAAAUAUUACUCGCAGCAGCAGAAUCAAAUACCACAUCAACCAGUCUGUGUUGUAACUAGCAGGGCACUUAACACAUAUAAUACACAUAACUUGGGCAGGGAGUGGAAGGAGGCAAGGGAAGGGAAGGGAAGGGAAGGGAAGGGGAGGGAAGGGAAAAAGUUAUGCAUAGUUAUAAUAGCGAUCUAGUUUAAUUUUCUAUGUUAUUUUUAGGUACAGUAUAUGUGUUGAUUUUGCACGAUUAUCUCCCUUGUAACUGGUUUUAUUAAGGGUCAUGUUAGUACUAGGUCACCAUAGCACAAAGGCCUUUCCCAAUGUACUCAAGGAAGGAGCGAAGAGGAGGAGGAAGAGGAGGAGGAGGAGGAGGAGGAGGAGCUGUAGAUGGUUACAAUAGGCAUCUUUAGCAACCUACAUAUAUAUUUUUUGAGGGGUUUUCAUUUCCUUCAAUUUCUCCUUGUGAUUACUCUAAGGACAAGAUAACUGGGAGGUGAGAAGACGAAGGAGAGGAAGAAGGAGGAGGAGGAGGAGGAGGAGGAAAUGAGGGUGGUUUAAAAUAGCCACGCAUAGCAACUUGCAUAUAUUUUCAGGGGUUUUAAUUUCCUUCUCUUUCUCUCUGUGAUUACUAAGACACAACAAAAGGUGGAGGCAAUAGGAAGAAGAAGAGGAGGAGGAGGAGGAUUCGAUUCCUUUACAUGCACAAACGAACACUCUGAAUGUAUCUUGUUAGCGCUAAAUGCAGGGUAACUUAUAACUCUCCCUCCCUCUACAUUACCCUGGUGUUUAUUUUUAGCUCGCUUCGGCCCCUAUGUUUGUGUCCCUAACCUACGAGUGAGGAAUAGUAUUGUUAGGUCAUUAUAUUGUUACUUGUUAGGGCUGAUUGCAGGGUAUGUAUUCUUUUAUGGGUUGAGCUCAGGUAGAAGUCACGGUCUUAUGUCAAUGGGGCUGCUCUGAACACCCCAUGAAAAGUUAUGCGAAGUUAAGAGUUGUUCCUAUCUAAGACUAUGUAGGCUUGGCUUAGGAGAACUUUUAACCCUUGAGAGUAAGUCCUAAUGUAAGAGUUAAUCCUCCUAUCCAAGACUAUGAUAUGCUUGAUGAACGAGCUACUCUGAACCCUUUUAAGAGUUGUUCCCACGUAAGAGUUGAUCCUAUCCAAGACUAUGAUAGGCUUAGCUUAGGAAAACUCUUAACCCUUGAGAGUAAGUCAUAAUGUAAGAGUUAAUCCUCCUAUCCAAGACUAUGAUAUGCUUGAUGAAGGAACUACUCUGAACACUUUUAAGAACUGUUCCCCCGUAAGAGUUGAUCCUAUUAUCCAAGACUAUGAUAUAAUUUGGCUUAGGAACAUUCUUAACCCUUGAAAAUUAGUCCCAGUUAAGAGUUGAUCCUCCUAUCCAAAGUUUAUUCUUGGGUGAGGAACAUUCUGAAUCCCCUUGAGGUAGUCCCAUGUAAGACGCGAUCCUCCUAGACUUAGAGUUCAAGAAAAUCUCUAAAGCCUCGACUUCUACCCGAGUGUUUCCGUUUCGCUCCACAUAUCACCCUGACGCUUGGCUUAGGUUCAUCCUCUCUCUAUUCUGUUGUUGGUUUUAGGUUUAAGGCGACGGAAUGCAGACAUUUGAGCCAUGCACGCUGAGGAUGCAUCGAUCUGUUAUGCCUCGCUCCGGCGGCUCGGUCAACACUAGCGAUCCCCCCCGGCGCCGGCUGAAGCACUCCGAUCCUUCAGGCGGCGUGAUUGCCCAUUCAGUUGAAAUACCAGCAAAAUAUUCAACAGGUAUCAGAGAAAAGGCAGUUUCAUCCAAGAACAAUGAGGGUUAAGCAGGAGGCAGGUUCGCGCCCACCCGCCCCUGCAAAUAAGCUGGCAAAUUUUCAGUCACCGCAUAGUGGCCCAAGACUACCCACAUGCUGUCCUGAAGGCCACCUAUCAAACCGGACUCUAGAUUCUCUAAAAAAAGGAUCAGAGAUGAGCUCCGGGGGGCACCAUGAGCCAAGCACGAUGAUGCCACUAUAAAAACUUGCCUGCGCCAUAACGGGCUGGGGCCGACCAGCAGGCGAACCGUAACCAAAAGAUCUUAAAACGUCUACUCCCAAAUGCAUUAUUUUUCUCAUCAACACGUUUUAGUUGAUUGGUGACUACUGGGAGGUGAUAACACAGCUGCGCACGGCUCUAACAAGGCCUGCGGAGGCACAGGAUCGAGUCACUGCUUCAGCCAGCCAGCGGGGAACCUUCUUUUGACUGAGUCGUGGAGACGAACACUUGCUACACUUGUUUCAUAAUUGGUAAACAUAUUUUUAUUGUAGUUGAUAGACGGAAACUAUUAUAUAUUUCGCCUGACGUACUACUGGUUGAAGAAGUAAUGGAGUUUUUAAUAUUAUGUACAUAUAUACCUAGUGACUGCGUUUCUUUCCUAGGGUUAUAUUUUCCGUUUGUUAUAUACUCUUUACAUAGCAAAUUUUAUUCACAUAUAAGUGCUAUUAAUAUGUAGACUGUAAGGGAUAAAUGCAGGUUUCACAGCUACUAUUAAACACAUACAUACAUAUAUACAUACAUACAUACUCAUAUAUAUUCCAAUCCCUUUAUGAAGAGUUCUGAUCUAAAAGAAAAUUGUACCAGUAAUCUCUUGAGUCCAUAAAUCUAUACUUUUCUUGGUCAUAUUGAAAGGAAGAGUUUGAAUUCAGAAUAUAUACUAGUUAAUAAGGACACACACACACACACACACACACACACACACACACACACACAAACAUCUACGCCCCUACAAACUCAAAUCUCUCUUUCUCGCCUACAAUAAUAUCGGUCUGCGGAAUGCUCCCCUUAAACACCCACGCCUGUACAGCACCGUUAAGGGGGGCACUCCAAAGACACACCUCCAUCGGCAUAAUAUUGUGACUUGAGGCUUUUUUGUGCCGAGUGUGAUGAAUGCUGAUGACAUAAUCGCAUAUUCCAGUUUUUCCCUCCAUUUCAUAAUAUAUAGGACGUGGAAGACGCUGACCAGAGCACCCAAGCAUGUGUCUAGAGUCUGAUACAUAAGCAAGCGGUCAAGUUGGGAGUUUACACUAUGGCCGCGGUGCUCAUCUUCGUAACAUUGACCCGAGCAAACAUAUAAGAGUCGUCUUAAGUAAUUUCCUAAGACUGAUUCUGAUCUAAAACGCAAAAGGACUGGAUCUUCCUUUAUAAUGCAGUUUCCAAUCCAGUACCAUCCAUGUGUUCGAAGUGUACCCAUUCAAGACUCAUAAAGGACACCACAUGCUUCGUCGGGUACAUGCUGGGGCGCCUCUGUACAUGUGUGUGAUACGUAUAUGCCUCUUCCACAGGCUGUCACAUAGGCUCUGUACACUGGGUAGUCCAGAGGUGCAGCCCACAGGCAUAGGGUCAUACUGCCACGUCUCCCAAAGGUCCUUGCUCUUGACGCUUUGAAAUCUCACACACCCACGUUUGAUAAGGCUUUCAGUGAGCUUGUAAGUCCUUCCAUGGGUAGUUUUAUGAGCCAGUGAUAGUUUAACAAGGCUCCUGCAAUAUUAAUGUGAAAAACCACUCAUGAGAAGCUGACUAAUCUUCACUUACCCACUUUUGAUAAGGCUUUCGGUGUGGUUCCAAUUCUUUCCAUGGGUAGUUUUAUGAGCCUAGUGAUAGUUUAACAAGGCUCCUGCAACUUGAAUGCGAAAAACCACUCAUGAGAACCUGGCUAAUUUUCACAUACCCACGUUUGAUAAGGCUUUCGGUGAGGCUUCAAGUUUCCAUGGGUAGUUUUACGAGCCUAGUGAUAGUUUAACAAGGCUCCUGCAACUUGAAUGCGAAAAACCACUCAUGAGAACCUGGCUAAUCUUCACAUACCCACGUUUGAUAAGGCUUUCGGUAAGGGUUCAAGUUUCCAUGGGUAGUUUUACGAGCCUAGUGAUAGUUUAACAAGGCUCCUGCAAUAUGGAUGUGAAAAACCACUCAUGAGAACCUGACUAAUUUUCACAUACCCACGUUUGAUAAGGCUUUCGGUGAGGUUCCAAUUCUUUUCAUGGGUAGCUUUACGAGCCUAGUGAUAGUUUAACAAGGCUCCUGCAACUUGAAUGCGAAAAACCACCCAUGAUAACCUGGCUAAUCUUCACAUACCCACGUUUGAUAAGGCUUUCGGUAAGGGUUCAAGUUUCCAUGGGUAGUUUUAUGAGCCUAGUGAUAGUUUAACAAGGCUCCUGCAAUAUGAAUGUGAUAAACUACUCAUGAGAAGCUGGCUGGUCUCCUCUGUAGCUUUUUGAAACGGUUGUGAGUCGAAAGCGUCAAGAUUUCGGGGCUUUAGAAUCUGAGCGUCGCAGUUUCAGUCUGUGCGGUUGACGAAACUCCCCGAAGAAUCCAGUGUUGCCCUGUUCCAUGGCGUAGCGUUUUUGAAGUAGCUCGCCCUGUGUUUUUUGAGGUUAGGGGUGCCGUGGAGGGAGCGCAGCCGUAGCACGAGUUUGUACCAAGUAGACGUGCAGAAUACCGUAACCUUAGACGCAGGAACAAGCCGUAAGGUACAUCAGUAUAGCCUCUUAUAGUCAUGCCGGGGCGCAGACCUCACCAUGCAACCAUACGUGUGGCAGAACUGUUCGUUACCUAUUCUUAUCACCUCCAUUUAAGUACUUGCUUCAACACACUUCGAGUCUUUAGUUCCGAAUACCCGCCAACACCUUAUCUGCCCGUCAAUUGUUUGCUCACCAACGAAACGACUUUACUUUGCAAGGGCGUAGGCGUAGACUGGAGGGGUCGCGGGGUGCUGUAGGGUCAUAAUCACAUUGCAGAAGAUAAAGGAAACCACUAACUUCUUUUGCCUAUCAUAUAUUUUAAGUUCGUCAUCCAGUCAGUCUUCAGAGUCUCAUAACAUUAGCUGAUUGACUUCAUGAAGCGUACAUAAAUAAGACUGGAAUUGUACCUACACGUUAUCAGCUUCCAUUAUGUCUAAUCUCACGCACAUUAAGUUUUCGGGUAAAUCAUUUUCCAGAAGAUAAGUUUGUUCGUCCAAUUUCACGUUCAGUCAAUAGUUCUGUGUUCCAGUGUUUUUUCUUGUGUCCAGAAAAUUGGUUUAUUCACCCAAUUUCACAUUUCAUCAAGAGUUCUGUGUUUUAAUGUUUAUUUGUCUUCAGAAAAAUGAGUUUCUUCACCCAAUUUCACGUUCAAUCAAGAGUUCUGUGUAUUUUAUGGUUAUGUCUCACCAGAAUAUGCAUUUCUUCACCCCAUUCCACAUUUACCAGCGUUCUGUGCACCCCGGGGGCCCCACCCAACCAGCCGCGCCCUUGUCCAACUAAUUCUUGCUGCCGAGGCCUGCCGGUGUGUCCCGUAGGCCUGUAGAGUUCGGUGUGUCGACACUCUCUGGUUACCUCGACUCCCCCUCUCGGUUAGCCAUGAUGUAACUCUGUCUCGGAGUGUUGGUUGUGUUCUCUAGACCAAUAGUUGUGGACUGACCAGCUGACCGGGAACAUUGGGCUGUACGGGUCAGAGUUCAGAGGCUGUCCUGUUACAAGACCGUCUGUGGUUCUGGCGCCAUGACGAGACCCCAAUCAAUCAGUCUGUCAAUCAGUUAAUCAAUCAUUCUUAGCCUUUCUGGGGCCCAUGGCAGGAUUAUUGUAUCUUGGAGCCCUUAUCUCGACUUUUUUGGGACCCUGGUAUGAUUAUUGUAUCUUGGGUCUCUUUCCUUAGAUUAGUCCACCAUUGAUAGGCGAAUGGUGAGGUCAAUUAACUAGCGCGGUGCCAUAUAAGCAGUCUGAGUAGUAUGCUUAUAGGGGAAGGUCACUGGUCAAAGGUAAUGCUUAGCCAGGCCACCAGUGUGCAGUAUGCUUAUAAGGAGGAAGGUCACUGGUCAGAGGUCAUUCAAAGCCUUAGCCAGGUCACCAGUGUGUAGUAUGGUUAUAAGAAUGAAGGUCACUGGUCAAAGGUCAUACUUAGCCAGGUCACCAGUGUGUAGUAUGGUUAUAGGAAUGAAGGUCACUGGUCAAAGGUCAUACUUAGCCAGAUCACCAGUGUGUAGUAUGGUCAUAGGAAGGCAGGUCACUGGUCAAAGGUCAAACACAGCCUCGGCCAGGUCAUCUCCAGCCCAGUGCCUCGGUCAGCUGGGUUCCACGGUCCACUUCGUCGUGUGCUUAUCAAAUAAGCAGUAAGACACCCUCAACAUCAUGAUUCUUAUUAUUGUCUUUGUUGGUCAUUCUGCUUUGUAAUUUUAAUAAAUUUUUAUAUACUGCAA